rnacentral:tRNA from 3 species
GGGUCCACAAAGUCCAGUCAGGCCGGGCGCUUCGUUUACAUCGAAGAUGUCAGAGGUUCAAAUCCUCUAGAGUCCACAA